UCUCUGUUGUCGUUUGUAAGCGUGACGUCUGGGUUUUCACUCCUGUGCAGGACGGGCCUCCCUCAGACCUUGUGAGCUGUCAGUACGUUACCUGUGUGACG
ensembl:snoRNA